rnacentral:misc_RNA from 1 species
GAUGAAGAACGCAGCGAAAUGCGAUAAGUAGUGUGAAUUGCAGAAGUACCGUGAAUCAUCGAAUCUUUGAACGCAAAUUGCACUCUCUGGUAUUCCGGGGAGUAUGCCUGUUUGAGGGUCGCUUAACAAACCAUCGAUUUCGUUGCUUUUUUUUUAAAAAAGUGAUGUUUAUCGGAUUUGAGCCGUCUUUUUUUUUUUUAUAUUUAAGUGGCUUAAAAUUGAUUUUUUUUGGUACGAUCGAAGCGUAUUUUUAUGAUCAAUUUUUGGUUAAAGAAACGCACACGUACCGUUAUUUAUAUGAUGUAAUACGUUUGACUAUCGGAUUUAGUUCAUUCGUAUACGAUAUUUUUCAAUAUUUGACCUCAAAUCAGGUAAGAACACCCGCUGAACUUAAGCAUAUCAAUAAGCGGAGGA